UACGUAGGGUGCAAGCGUUGUCCGGAAUUAUUGGGCGUAAAGAGCUUGUAGGCGGUUUGUCGCGUCUGCUGUGAAAAUCCGGGGCUCAACCCCGGACUUGCAGUGGGUACGGGCAGACUAGAGUGUGGUAGGGGAGACUGGAAUUCCUGGUGUAGCGGUGAAAUGCGCAGAUAUCAGGAAGAACACCCGUGGCGAAGGCGGUUCUCUGGGACGGUACUGACGCUGAGACGCGAAAGCGUGGGGAGCGAACAGG
rnacentral:rRNA from 1 species